rnacentral:misc_RNA from 1 species
UUUCCGUAGGUGAACCUGCGGAAGGAUCAUUAUUGUAUAACCCAGAUUCGAGGACUGUUGUGAACAUGAAUGGUGUUGCACGCCCGAGUCCCCUCACACACAUCCAUCGCACCCCUAUAUGCACCACCGCGCGGGUGCCCCUUUGGCUUUUUCGGAUAUGGGCUCACGUUUUCACACAAACUUUGUAUUCAGUGUAGAAUUUCUAUUUUGUUUUUCCUAUCACUCAAUCAAUACAACUUUCAACAACGGAUCACUUGGCUCCCGCAGCGAUCAAGAACG